AGCAAACUGAGGCCAAGAUGACAAAAUGGAACAAAUUUAACAAGACAAACAUAAGAAACAGCAUACACAAUACUGGACAUCACAGGACCCUCUCCGGCUGGAUACCAGGCUGUAGAACCACCAGAUGCUUCAGAUGAGAAAGGUUGGAUCUGUUUCACAGGGAAGGGGCUAAACUGUUUCAAGAGGCGACCACGCGCUGGGCACUCUGUACUUUGCAACCUACCAAGUAUCAUCACAAGAGCUAUGAAAGUGAAGAGAGACAUACGUUAUCUAAGAAUCUGAGAGAGAUGACUCAGUCAGCAUCCUCUCUCUUGGUGUACAAUGGUAGGGACAGCUACUGUGUCAUCUGGAGCAUGACAAUGAGAACACAGACACUGGAUCGUCCUGAUAUAGCCUGCAGUCCAUCUGGGCCUCUAGACAUUCAUUUGCAUUUGCAUUCAUGCGCAUCCCCUACUACUCCAACUCCUACACCUUUUGGCAGGAUAUAUCCACACAGCUGGAUUGGAAUCACAAGAUGUUUUUAUUUUUUGCCUCAUUAAACUAGUUUCUCUCAAGCAAUGUGUGUUUUCUUUAUAUUCCAG
rnacentral:lncRNA from 1 species